AUAUGAGAAAACGGAUGUUUUUUUAACGUUACAUACCACACUAAGUUGAACGGCCUGAUUUGAAAAAUCAACAACGGAAAUGCAUUUGUACAUUUUUUGGUUUAGGUACGCGCUGAAGAUGCCUAACAAAGUGGUUUCCUGUUUUGAAGAUGUUUUUAUGUAUUGCGGUUUGAAGGGAAGCAUCUCUCUCCUAUAUAAACGGCUUCGGAACCAUCACAACAUUUAGAGAGCGAUUGUAGCUUGAUCCUCAUCUGAAAGAUAUGAAACUCUACGUGUUUGUCGUUUUGGUGGUUCUCGCCACAAUCGCCUUGGCUCAGGAGGACGCCCAGCUUGAUGAGACUCCUCAAAGUGUGAACGACUUUGAUGGCGUGAGACUGGUCCGAUCUCCAAAUCGCUACUACCACAACCAGGGACAUGGACAUCACGGAAGACCUCAUAGCAACCAUUAUUAUGGGAACCAUCAUAAUAGACCCCAUGGCGGUGGACACCAUAAUGGAUAUAGGCCUCAGUAUCAACCUAACCGUUUCAUCGGUUAAUUGGGGAAAAUUUUGAUAAAAAGAAUAUGCGUUCAAUUAAGUAAACUGUUAUGUGAAGUACCUCUAAUAAAAAUGUGCCAAAUUCUGGUGAAUCUA